rnacentral:rRNA from 1 species
UCGAGCGGACCAAAGAAGAGCUUGCUCUUCGGCGGUUAGCGGCGGACGGGUGAGUAACACGUAGGCAACCUGCCUGUACGACUGGGAUAACUCCGGGAAACCGGAGCUAAUACCGGAUACGUUUUUCAGACCGCAUGGUCUGAAAGAGAAAGACCUUUGGUCACGUACAGAUGGGCCUGCGGCGCAUUAGCUAGUUGGUGGGGUAACGGCCUACCAAGGCGACGAUGCGUAGCCGACCUGAGAGGGUGAUCGGCCACACUGGGACUGAGACACGGCCCAGACUCCUACGGGAGGCAGCAGUAGGGAAUCUUCCGCAAUGGACGAAAGUCUGACGGAGCAACGCCGCGUGAACGAUGAAGGUUUUCGGAUCGUAAAGUUCUGUUGUUAGGGAAGAACCGCCGGGAUGACCUCCCGGUCUGACGGUACCUAACGAGAAAGCCCCGGCUAACUACGUGCCAGCAGCCGCGGUAAUACGUAGGGGGCAAGCGUUGUCCGGAAUUAUUGGGCGUAAAGCGCGCGCAGGCGGCUUCUUAAGUCAGGUGUGAAAGCCCACGGCUCAACCGUGGAGGGCCACUUGAAACUGGGAGGCUUGAGUGCAGGAGAGGAGAGCGGAAUUCCACGUGUAGCGGUGAAAUGCGUAGAGAUGUGGAGGAACACCCGUGGCGAAGGCGGCUCUCUGGCCUGUAACUGACGCUGAGGCGCGAAAGCGUGGGGAGCGAACAGGAUUAGAUACCCUGGUAGUCCACGCCGUAAACGUUGAGUGCU